UCAAGCUACAAAGAGCGCAAGGGGAAUGCCUUGGCACUGAGAGCCGAUGAAGGACGCAGCAAACUGCGAAAAGCUUCGGGGAGCCGUAAGCAGGCUUUGAUCCGGAGACAUCCGAAUGGAGCAAUCCGGCUGGAGUCAUAUCCAGUCACUGUACAGUCAAUACAUAGCUGUACAGGGGGAACCGCCUGAACUGAAACAUCUAAGUAGGGCGAGGAAGAGACAUCAAAAUGAGAUUCUGCUAGUAGUGGCGAGCGAACGCGGAAGAGGCCAAACCGCAGGUAGCAAUACUUGCGGGGUUCGGACAGCAAUACGCAUGUGAAACCUUAGCUGAAUGGUCUGGGAAGGCCAGUCAAAGAGUGUGAGAGCCACGUAAGUGAAAAGGGGAAACAGCCAGCUGGAUCCAGAGUACCGCCGGACACGAGAAAUCCGGUGGGAAGAUGGGGGGACCACCCUCCAAGCCUAAAUACUACUCAGUGACCGAUAGAGAAUAGUACUGUGAAGGAAAGGUGAAAAGCACCCCGGGAGGGGAGUGAAAUAGAACCUGAAACCUUGUGCUUACAAGCACCGAAAGCCCGUCAAAGGGUGAUCGGGUACCUUUUGUAGAAUGGUCCGGCGAGUGAAUGUGACUGGCGAGGUUAAGGACUUUAAGGUCCGGAGCCGCAGCGAAAGCAAGUCUGAACAGGGCGUAUGAAGUCAGUUGUAUUCGACCCGAAACCGGGUGACCUACCCAUGUCCAGGUUGAAGUGGAGGUAAAACUCCAUGGAGGACCGAACCGACUCCCGUUGAAAUGGUAGCGGAUGAGGUGUGGGUAGCGGAGAAAUUCCAAUCGAACCCGGAGAUAGCUGGUUCUCUCCGAAAUAGCUUUAGGGCUAGCCUUGUAUUAGAUUACCGGAGGUAAAGCACUGAAUGGUUAAGGGACCGAAAGGUUACCAAGACCUAUCAAACUCUGAAUGCCGGAUAAUUGAUGUACAGGAGUCAGACGGCGGGAGAUAAGUUUCGUCGUCAAAAGGGAAACAGCCCAGACCCACAGCUAAGGUCCCAAAACACGGUUAAGUGGAAAAGGAUGUGGGGUUGCACAGACAACCAGGAUGUUGGCUCAGAAGCAGCCAUACAUUAAAAGAGUGCGUAAUAGCUCACUGGUCGAGUGACCCUGCGCCGAAAAUUUAACGGGGCUAAAUCGUGUACCGAAGCUUGGGAUGCAGCAAUGCAUGGUAGGAGAGCGUUCUGUACGGGGCGAAAUGAGAGCGAAAGCGCUUGUGGACUGUACAGAAGUGAGAAUGCCGGAAUGAGUAGCGAGAAAUGUGUGAGAAUCAUAUUGGCCGAAAAUCUAAGGUUUCUGGAGGAAGGUUCGUCCGCUCCAGGUAAGCCGGGAGCUAAGGCGAGGCCGAAAGGCGUAGUCGAUGCACAUACGGUGGAUAAUCCGUAGCCGCCAAAAGAUUUAAGAUAAGUGACACCUGAGAAGUCUAUAACCCGGGCGAUGGUUGCCCCGGGCGUAAGGGACCGAAAUUAGAGUAGGGAAGUAUAGAUGGAACAGGGCAAGAAAAGCUUAUUGGUAUAUCUGAGGCGCCCGUACCGCAAACCGACACAGGUAGAUAGGAAGAGAAUUCUAAGGCCAACGGGAGAAGGGUAGUUAAGGAACUCGGCAAAUUGACCCCGUAACUUAGGGAUAAGGGGUGCCACAGCGAUGUGGCCGCAGAGAAUAGGCCCAGGCGACUGUUUAGCAAAAACACAGGUUUCUGCAAAAUCGAAAGAUGACGUAUAGGAGCUGACACCUGCCCGGUGCUGGAAGGUUAAGAGGAGAUGUGCAAGCAUUGAAUUGAAGCCCCAGUAAACGGCGGCCGUAACUAUAACGGUCCUAAGGUAGCGAAAUUCCUUGUCGGGUAAGUUCCGACCCGCACGAAAGGUGUAACGAUCUGAGCACUGUCUCAAUUACCCGCCCGGCGAAAUUGUAGUACCGGUGAAGAUGCCGGUUACCCGCGACAAGACGGAAAGACCCCAUGGAGCUUUACUGUAGUUUAAUAUUGG
rnacentral:rRNA from 1 species